CACGGGGGGAGCAAGCGUUGUUCGGAAUCACUGGGCGUAAAGGGCGUGUAGGCGGUCAGGUAAGUGGAAUGUGAAAUCCCUCGGCUCACCCGAGGACCUGCAUCCCAAACUGCCUGGCUUGAGUAUGGGAGAGGAUGAGGGAAUUCCUGGUGUAGCGGUGAAAUGCGUAGAUAUCAGGAGGAACACCGGUGGCGAAGGCGCUCAUCUGGCCCAAUACUGACGCUGAAGCGCGAAAGCGUGGGUAGCAAACAGG
rnacentral:rRNA from 1 species